CCCUUAGAUGUUCUGGGCCGCACGCGCGCUACACUGUUCGACGCAGCGAGUCUUAACCUUGACCGAAAGGUUUGGGUAAUCUUCAGCAAAGUCGAACGUGAUGGGGAUCGAUCAUUGCAAUUAUUGAUCGUGAACGAGGUAUUCCUAGUAAGUGCAAGUCAUCAGCUUGCGCUGAUUACGUCCCUGCCCUUUGUACACACCGCCCGUCGCUACUACCGAUUGAAUGGUUUAGUGAGAUCUCUGGAUUGACGCUGGCUAGGGGGCGACCCUUGGCCAGACUGUUGAGAAACUGCUCAAACUUGAUCAUUUAGAGGAAGUAAAAGUCGUAACA
rnacentral:rRNA from 1 species